rnacentral:lncRNA from 1 species
GAUCCCACUAUCCAUUUGGGACAAUCAUCUUUAGAAGGCAACUAAUCCAACAGCAGCAAUAGCAAAACAAAAUCACAGGGCAGGACCCAGCAAGCGCCUAAUUAGGACCAACCAAAUUAGAAAACAGGCAAAAGGUACUUGAAGGAAGACGAGAACAAUUUAAUCUAACAUACCCAAACUGAUAUUAUCACAAUGUUAGCCGGUGACAAUGGAAAGACAUUGUAAUCUAGGUACAAGCGGGGCACCUCCGCCAUGGAGCGCCCCUGCCGGUGGCGCCAACAAGGAGCGCUAUCCGUUAUAGGUACGACAAAAAGGUAAAAACAUCACAAUGUGAAGUUGAAACUGGAUAAUUCUAGUAGAUGGAUAGGCUCCUUAUAACGCCCGAGACCACCGCAGGCCC